rnacentral:rRNA from 1 species
AUUGAACGCUGGCGGCAUGCUUUACACAUGCAAGUCGAACGGCAGCGGGGAGGAGCUUGCUUCUCUGCCGGCGAGUGGCGAACGGGUGAGUAAUACAUCGGAACGUGUCGAGAAGAGGGGGAUAACCACCCGAAAGGGUGGCUAAUACCGCAUAAAUUCUGAGGAAGAAAGCUGGGGACCUGGGAAUAGGCCUAGCGCUUUUUGAGCGGCCGAUGUCGGAUUAGCUAGUUGGUGAGGUAAAGGCUCACCAAGGCGAAGAUCUGUAGCGGGUCUGAGAGGAUGAUCCGCCACACUGGGACUGAGACACGGCCCAGACUCCUACGGGAGGCAGCAGUGGGGAAUUUUGGACAAUGGGGGCAACCCUGAUCCAGCCAUGCCGCGUGUAUGAAGAAGGCCUUAGGGUUGUAAAGUACUUUUGUUAGGGAAGAAAAGUCAGCUGUGAAUAAUGGCUGAUACUGACGGUACCUAAAGAAUAAGCACCGGCUAACUACGUGCCAGCAGCCGCGGUAAUACGUAGGGUGCGAGCGUUAAUCGGAAUUAUUGGGCGUAAAGCGAGUGUAGACGGUUAUUUAAGCCAGAUGUGAAAUACCCGAGCCUAACUUGGGAGGUGCAUAUGGAACUGGGUAGCUAGAGUGUGUCAGAGGGAGGUAGAACUCCACGUGUAGCAGUGAAAUGCGUAGAGAUGUGGAAGAAUACCGAUGGCGAAGGCAGCCUCCUGGGAUAACACUGACGUUGAGGCUCGAAAGCGUGGGGAGCAAACAGG